rnacentral:lncRNA from 1 species
CGCAAGGUCAGAAAGUUUUGCGAUGAAUAGUGGUGGUUUGCAUACUGGUGGUAUGCAUACUGGUGGUAUGCAUACUGGUGGUAUGAAUAGUGGUAGUAUGAAUAGUGGUAGUAUGAAUAGUGGUAGUAUGAAUAGUGGUAGUAUGAAUAGUGGUAGUAUGAAUAGUGGUAGUAUGAAUUACGGAAACAUACCUAAUAUGCACAUGCCCAACGUACACACUCCACAUGAAGAAAUAUUAAAUCAACUCGAACACAUGGUGAACGAUAUAGACAUGGAAAUUUUACAUAUCAUUUAUUGUGAUGAAUAUUUUUACAUAUUUAAAAAUAUUCUAUUUGUUCUUAAAAACUGUGAUAUAUUUUACGUAUAUAAAAAUUAUACAAAUUAUGAUUUGUCAUAUGAGAAUAACCUUAUUUAUGAGCUCUUUUUUAUUAUCGAAGAUGCAAUUUGCAUCAAAGAAUUUACUCAAGUAUACUUUGACACUUAUAAUGAUACGAAUAUAUAUUUCCAAUACAUACAACAACUAAACAAUGACAACAAGACGUGGUUAUACAAAUAUGUUAUUUUAUUUUUGAACAUACAAAUUUAUUGUAUGAAUAUAUUUUUUUAUUUGCAGUUAAGGUUAAAUAUAUUAUCAAAAAUAGAUUUACAGUUUUAUUUAAGAAUUUUUACGAGUUUUGCUACUAUUCAAAUUGGGAAUUGUAACAGCAGCAUCAACAGUAACAGCAGCAUCAACAGUAACAGCAGCAUCAACAGCAACAUCAGCAACAUCAACAACAUCAUCAACAACAUCAACAACAUCAACAACAACAUCAACAGUAGCAGCAACUACAACCGCAACAACUACAACAACAACUACAACAACAACUACAACAACAACUACAACCACGAUAUCAUUAGCUAUACACUAAAACAAAAAGCAUAUUCAGCCAUUUUUUUAAUUUUAUCUAUCGUAAGUUUAAUCAAAUUAGAUGACAUCGAAGGAUACAUUAAAAACUCCAAUUAUCUUGUCCUUUUUAAAUUAUUUUUUUUUAUGCAAAAUAUAAACGAUAAAAAUGAUUAU